rnacentral:lncRNA from 1 species
UAUGGGAUGGGGAUGGGGAUAUGGGAUAUGGGAUGGGGAUAUGGGAUAGGGAUAUGGGAUGGGGAUAUGGGAUGGGGAUAUGGGAUGGGGAUAUGGGAUGGGGAUGGGUAAUCCCCCCAUUACCCCCCGAUCUCCCCUAAUCCUCCCGGUCCCCCCUAAUCCCCCCAUUACCCCCAUUACCCCUCGAUCCCCCCUAAUCCCCCCGUUCCCCCCCGACCCCCCCCCGACCCCCGUUCCCCCCUCCUCACGUGUGUCCGCAUCCCGCGAUGCCGACGGCUCGGUGGAAGACCUCGAGGCAGAUGGGGCAGCUGAACUGAGCCUCCAGAGCCUCGGGACCACCGGGGAGCGGAGCCACCGGGCUUGGGGUCGGGCUUGGGGUCGGGGGCGGCGGAGCCCGGGGGGGGGCCGGGAGGGGGGGUGGGGGCCGGGGGCCGCUGCGCCGCCGCCACCAGCAGGCUGCGGAACAUGGCGGCCGCGUGACGUCACCGCAUAGCAACGGGAAGGGGCCGGGAGGGGAAGGGGAAGGGAGGGGAAGGGGAAAGGGGAAGGGGAAAGGAAGGGGAGGGGAGGGGAGGGGAGCCAUGUGUGAGGCGAACGGAGGGUGUGGGGAGUGCGCCGUGGGAGCGGGACCGGGAUUGGGACCGGCUCGGCGCCGUCCUGCUGUGGUGUGCAGGUGGGGGGCAGCGGGACGGGAGAGGCUGCGGAACCGGUCCUGGUCCCAUACCCGGUCCCGUACCCAUACCCGUACCCAUACCCGGUCCCGGUCCCAGUCCCGGUCCCGUCCUCAUUCCCAUUCCCAGUCCCGGUCCCGUUCCCAGUCCCGGUUCUCUUCCCGGUCCCAAUCCCGUUCCCAUUCCCGGUCCUGGACCCUGUCCCAUACCCGGUCCCGGUCCCCACCCUGUUCCUGGUCCCGAUCCUGAUCCCGUACCCGUACCCGGUCCCAGUCCCAGUCCCAGUCCCGUUCCCGUUCCCGGUCCCGAUCCCGUACCCGGUCCCGGUCCUGGUCCUGUUCCCAGUCCCGGUUCCAUUCCUGGUCCCGUGCCCGGUUCCGGUCCCAAUCCCGUUCCCAUUCCCAGUCCCUGCCCUGUUCCCAGUCCCAG